AGUGCCCGCGCCAGCCGAGGGUCCCGCGCUCCCUCCAGGAGGCGGGGCACGAGGGGGGCGGGGCGAUCUCGAGGCCCCGCCUUGCCCUUGGCGGCGCUGGGCCAUGCGGAGGCCCACGUUCAAAAGAAGAGGCUGUUCUAAGAAAGACUACUGAGUAAUCAAUCACCUCCUCAGAGAAAGUCUGCUCAGGUAACUCUACUCCCACCAGCCCUGCACUUGGUUCCUUGCAUUGCCUCUGGCUGGAAGCUGUUGUCCCCAACUUCAGAAAGUGUCUGCAGAUCUCACAGGCUCUCUCUUGGGUCAAGGUAAGACUUCAGCCAGUUCCCCUUGUAAACAGAAGGUAGUGACACGCAGGUAUUGAGUUUCCAUUUUGAUCUUUUGCCCUUGUUAACACGUUGC